CUUAUAACCCUGGAAAAUGAAGUCCUCUCUUUAUUCAUGAGCAAGUUACAACUCAGGAAGUGACACAGGAAGCUUUCUCAAACUGCCCUGCCACAGCAACCACAACUUCUAACGGGAAAGACCACCCUGGGAAUAAGAAGCAAUUCAGGUUUCCUACUAGUAAUUCCCGAGCCUCU
rnacentral:sRNA from 1 species